AACGAACGCUGGCGGCGUGGAUAAGACAUGCAAGUCGAACGGGAUUAUUUUUGUAGCAAUACAGAAAUAAUUCAGUGGCGAACGGGUGCGUAACACGUGGGUAAUCUGCCGAAAAGUGGGGGAUAGCUCGCCGAAAGGCGAAUUAAUACCGCAUGUGGUGAGGGACGACAUCUUCCUGAAUCCAAAGCCGGGGCAACCUGGCGCUUUUUGAGGAGCCCGCGGCCUAUCAGCAGUUGGUGAGGUAACGGCCCACCAAGGCUAUGACGGGUAGCUGGUCUGAGAGGACGACCAGUCACACUGGAACUGAGACACGGUCCAGACACCUACGGGUGGCAGCAGUCGAGAAUUUUUCUCAAUGGGGGAAACCCUGAAGGAGCGACGCCGCGUGGAGGAUGAAGGCUUUCGGGUUGUAAACUCCUGUCAUUUGAGAACAAGGUUGCGCGGUUAACUGCCGCGUAAUUGAUAGUAUCAGAAGAGGGAAGGACGGCUAACUCUGUGCCAGCCG
rnacentral:rRNA from 1 species